AAUUGGGCCAGCAGGGAAAACGGUCCGAACUGUUCGCGUUGCACUGCGCACGCGCGCUGCCUGACAUUACACCGCCUCACAAUAUGUAGGCGGGACUCGUUACCUUGUUGAUGGCGGCGUGCUCCCGCAGUGCCAGAUCCCAGAAGCGGCAGCCUAUCUGGUUCCCGCACUGACCCACUGCACGGGGAGAAGAAAAACCAACAACAGCGGUCAAACUGUGGCAUGGCGGAAAGAGUGAUGUAAAAAGACUCGGUGGGGGAAAGGAGGAAGAAAGAGAAAGCAGGGGAAAGAGUACAUGCGCUCUCACCCUGUACGACCACUGACUGCGUCAUGUCUGCUGUUAUCGCGGCUCUCGUUCCUAAGGCAGCUUGCUCCUGAAAGGCAGGCUGGAUUUUCAGCUCCGCCCACUUAAAAUUUGGCAAUCAGGCUGAGACUCACAUUGGGCGUGUGUGUGUGUGCUCAAGGCAGAUGCAAUUUUCGGAUGACCCAGAUGGAAGAUUCUCCAUUUAUGCUUCCUUCCUUCUUAUGUGGCCCUUACUUUGUACAUUCAAAAUUAAAAUUCCAAAUCAA